rnacentral:lncRNA from 1 species
AGCAGAUGCUACUUCUAAAGAAAUUAUUUUCUCACUACAGGUCCAGAUUCUGCACUUCAGCCUUCCUGCCCAGAAAGGCUAUCUGUCUGAUAUGAAGAAGGAAAGAAGUCUGAAGAUUCAAGGCUGUUCUGUCACCUCACCCUUCCAUCACCUGCAGUCUGUAAGAUUCUUCUCUAAGGAUACAGAUAAGACCAGAAAUUCUACAGUGAAGACAGAGGUAGGGAGAAUGCUGCACUUCUGCACUGCAAAAAAAAGUCCCAAAUGCACCAAGGCAGUAGAAAAAUUGAGAAAUGGAAGAACAGACGUAGGUGCCCAUUACCCUGCUUAUGAUAAGCUUAUCAUAUGUCAUUGAUGAUAUGGAGAAUGAUAGCUGAGUACCUGCUUCUUGGGAUUUAAGAAACAAACUACAAGCCAGUAUUUGAGGAAAGGAGUAAGAUCUAUCCAGCUGGUGCAUGGAAUCAAG